UUUCCUUAUGCGUGAGGUGAGGGGAGGUGGAUAAUUUAAUUAGAUUAUUGUAGUAUUUUAAUUGCCAUGUCAAAUUAAGUUAUUAGAAAAAUUGAUUUGUAUAUUUGGGACGUGGAAAUAAAGGGUUUAGGAGUUUUUCUUUUGUUUUUGGGAUCAAGGGUGGUUUAGGAGCUGGGCAUCAAAAUCGGUAGCCGCGAAACUCCAAUUUUCUGUUUCAUUAGAUUCGAGACGCGAGAGAGAGAUGAAACC
rnacentral:lncRNA from 1 species